CUGAAGUUAAGCAACGUUGAGCGUGGAUAGUACUUGGAUGGGUGACCGCUUGGGAACACCACGUAACGUUGGCG
rnacentral:rRNA from 1 species